CAGCUCAAAAGCCUAAGCAGCAGCACUGACACAUCACAAAGCCUUUCUAUGCCCCCACCUGUUUCCCAGCCUAUUGUCAAGGAAAUGCUUCCCAUCCUACUACUCAAACAGAGGAAACUGGAUAUCAAAAAUUCCUGAAGCAAACUCAGAGCAGGUACCUGGUGAUUUCAGCUCUUUGCUUGCUCCUCUAGACCACCAUCUUGGACACCUAGGAACAAUGUCUCAGGGCACGUGAGGGCACCAACAUGAUUACCCACACAUCGACAGGUGCUGCAUCCAAUAUCUGGCAGAACCUCAGGAGGCUGAAGAACAAGAAAGAUCAAGAAAACCCAUUUUAAAGACUUGAAAAUGGAAUGAGGGAAGAAAUGUUAAAGAUGUACCUCUUUAAAUAGGUUGGAUCUUUUGAAGGAAUACAUAAGAUGCAAAGUAGGUUUUCUACCACACCUAGGGUAUAACAUCAUUAGGUAGUCUGAAGAAACUCCAUGGACAUUUUUCUAUUACUCAUAAUUUCUGUUGCAGUGAGAUCAGAACUAAAUUGAAAAUUAAUUGAAUUUAUGCCAUUUAAAGUACACUGGUCAAGACGUGUCUUUAUUCUGGUCUAAGUUAGAACCCAUUUCAUGUCAUCAGUCUUUACAGUUGCCUCUCCUCCUAAUUCAUAUAUGACCUAUCCAUGGAAAGGUUACAUCUGGGAAUGAGAGUUCACAAUAAUUCAGGAAAUUAUGGCUUUUAUGAGGACUCUCUGUGACUCAAUAACUCCCAAGUUUCUACUUGAAAAUUCAUAUCAGAUUUCUGUGCAUGUCACCUUAGUAAAUUUGUUGCCCCAUUGAUUCCCAAAAUUAAAUGAAAUAAUAAAAAUCACACAUAGAAGAAUUUCAACCCAGUUGUCACUGGUCACUGCAAUUCGUAAGGUAAACCCACUUCAGGGUUUUCACAGGCCCCUUGUGUCACAGAUUGCAGUCAACGUUCUCAUUCAUUUAGCGAGAGAGACUGAUGCUUGCCAAUAACAUGAGAAUAGUUAAAACUGAAGAAGAUUAAAUGUGUAUUAUUAUUUUACAAUUUCUCUAGUUACAUCCAACACAUCUGGGAUCUUUGGCAAUUUUUUAAAAAUUCUGCAAUCUCCCUGAUGUUUAAUUCAUUCUUAUGUUGCAACAAUGAGCUUCACAAGCUCUGUUUUGCCAAGUAGAGAAGGUUAAGGACAAUUAUGAGAUAUAACUGAAGGCUGUGGUAAAAGCAAUAUAUUGUGGAUGGUGGAAAUAUAAAAUAAAUAUGGUGAAAUGUUGGAAAUACUAAUUGGGUUAGGAAACAUCUGUCGAGAGUGACAAACCUAAAGUUUCAGGUUGGUUAGCUUUUUUUUUCCCAAAUGUAAACAGUUCUAGAUAGAUACAGAGGUAGGAGAAUGUUCCCCUUGAUUUGGCAGAACAACAUCUACCAAAUCCAUUCUUCUUAUUCAUACAUUAUUUUUUGACGAUUGUUUUUGUAUCUGCACAGUUUAAAGCUUAUUUCUCAAAGGUCCACAGGUAAUAAUCCACUUCUCCAUGCCCUCCAACAGU